GCCGAAGUGGCGGAAUGGCAGACGCAUGCGACUCAAAAUCGCACGGGGAAACCCGUGUGGGUUCAACUCCCACCUUCGGCA
rnacentral:tRNA from 1 species